rnacentral:rRNA from 1 species
GAUGAACGCUGGCGGCGUGCCUAAUACAUGCAAGUCGAGCGAACAGACGAGGAGCUUGCUCCUCUGACGUUAGCGGCGGACGGGUGAGUAACACGUGGAUAACCUACCUAUAAGACUGGGAUAACUUCGGGAAACCGGAGCUAAUACCGGAUAAUAUAUUGAACCGCAUGGUUCAAUAGUGAAAGACGGUUUUGCUGUCACUUAUAGAUGGAUCCGCGCCGCAUUAGCUAGUUGGUAAGGUAACGGCUUACCGAGGCGACGAUGCGUAGCCGACCUGAGAGGGUGAUCGGCCACACUGGAACUGAGACACGGUCCAGACUCCUACGGGAGGCAGCAGUAGGGAAUCUUCCGCAAUGGGCGAAAGCCUGACGGAGCAACGCCGCGUGAGUGAUGAAGGUCCUCGGAUCGUAAAACUCUGUUAUUAGGGAAGAACAAAUGUGUAAGUAACUAUGCACGUCUUGACGGUACCUAAUCAGAAAGCCACGGCUAACUACGUG